rnacentral:rRNA from 1 species
UGUGCCCGUAUACAUUAGCAUGGAAUAAUGAAAUAGGACGUGUGGUUCUAUUUUGUUGGUUUCUAGAGUCGCCGUAAUGAUUAAUAGGGACAGUUGGGGGCAUUAGUAUUCAGUUGCUAGAGGUGAAAUUCUUGGAUUUACUGAAGACUAACUACUGCGAAAGCAUUUGCCAAGGAUGUUUUCAUUAAUCAAGAACGAAGGUUAGGGGAUCGAAAACGAUCAAUACCGUUGUAGUCUUAACAGUAAACUAUGCCGACUAGGGAUCGGGCGUACCUCUUUUUGAUGCGUCGUUCGGCGCCUUACGGGAAACAAUCACU